rnacentral:rRNA from 1 species
GGGACACGUGGUAUCCUGUCUGAAUAUGGGGGGACCAUCCUCCAAGGCUAAAUACUCCUGACUGACCGAUAGUGAACCAGUACCGUGAGGGAAAGGCGAAAAGAACCCCGGCGAGGGGAGUGAAAAAGAACCUGAAACCGUGUACGUACAAGCAGUGGGAGCCUCUUAAUGGGGUGACUGCGUACCUUUUGUAUAAUGGGUCAGCGACUUAUAUUCUGUAGCAAGGUUAACCGAAUAGGGGAGCCGAAGGGAAACCGAGUCUUAACUGGGCGUUAAGUUGCAGGGUAUAGACCCGAAACCCGGUGAUCUAGCCAUGGGCAGGUUGAAGGUUGGGUAACACUAACUGGAGGACCGAACCGACUAAUGUUGAAAAAUUAGCGGAUGACUUGUGGCUGGGGGUGAAAGGCCAAUCAAACCGGGAGAUAGCUGGUUCUCCCCGAAAGCUAUUUAGGUAGCGCCUCGUGAAUUCAUCUCCGGGGGUAGAGCACUGUUUCGGCAAGGGGGUCAUCCCGACUUACCAACCCGAUGCAAACUGCGAAUACCGGAGAAUGUUAUCACGGGAGACACACGGCGGGUGCUAACGUCCGUCGUGAAGAGGGAAACAACCCAGACCGCCAGCUAAGGUCCCAAAGUCAUGGUUAAGUGGGAAACGAUGUGGGAAGGCCCAGACAGCCAGGAUGUUGGCUUAGAAGCAGCCAUCAUUUAAAGAAAGCGUAAUAGCUCACUGGUCGAGUCGGCCUGCGCGGAAGAUGUAACGGGGCUAAACCAUGCACCGAAGCUGCGGCAGCGACACUAUGUGUUGUUGGGUAGGGGAGCGUUCUGUAAGCCUGUGAAGGUGUACUGUGAGGUAUGCUGGAGGUAUCAGAAGUGCGAAUGCUGACAUAAGUAACGAUAAAGCGGGUGAAAAGCCCGCUCGCCGGAAGACCAAGGGUUCCUGUCCAACGUUAAUCGGGGCAGGGUGAGUCGACCCCUAAGGCGAGGCCGAAAGGCGUAGUCGAUGGGAAACAGGUUAAUAUUCCUGUACUUGGUGUUACUGCGAAGGGGGGACGGAGAAGGCUAUGUUGGCCGGGCGACGGUUGUCCCGGUUUAAGCGUGUAGGCUGGUUUUCCAGGCAAAUCCGGAAAAUCAAGGCUGAGGCGUGAUGACGAGGCACUACGGUGCUGAAGCGACAAAUGCCCUGCUUCCAGGAAAAGCCUCUAAGCAUCAGGUAACAUCAAAUCGUACCCCAAACCGACACAGGUGGUCAGGUAGAGAAUACCAAGGCGCUUGAGAGAACUCGGGUGAAGGAACUAGGCAAAAUGGUGCCGUAACUUCGGGAGAAGGCACGCUGAUAUGUAGGUGAAGCGACUUGCUCGUGGAGCUGAAAUCAGUCGAAGAUACCAGCUGGCUGCAACUGUUUAUUAAAAACACAGCACUGUGCAAACACGAAAGUGGACGUAUACGGUGUGACGCCUGCCCGGUGCCGGAAGGUUAAUUGAUGGGGUUAGCGGUAACGCGAAGCUCUUGAUCGAAGCCCCGGUAAACGGCGGCCGUAACUAUAACGGUCCUAAGGUAGCGAAAUUCCUUGUCGGGUAAGUUCCGACCUG